rnacentral:rRNA from 1 species
UACGAAGGGGGCGAGCGUUAUUCGGAAUCACUGGGCGUAAAGCGUGCGUAGGCUGCUUGGAAAGUUGGAAGUGAAAGCCCAGGGCUCAACCCUGGAAUUGCUUUCAAAACUACCAGGCUAGGAUUUGGGAGAGGAUAGCGGAAUUGUCAGUGUAGCAGUGAAAUGCGUAGAUAUUGACAGGAACACCAGUGGCGCAAGCGGCUAUCUGGACCAACAUCGACGCUGAGGCACGAAAGCGUGGGGAGUCAAACAG